rnacentral:rRNA from 1 species
CAGGCCUAACACAUGCAAGUCGAGCGGUAACAGAUCUAGCUUGCUAGAUGCUGACGAGCGGCGGACGGGUGAGUAACGCAUAGGAAUCUGCCCGGUAGUGGGGGAUAACCUGGGGAAACCCAGGCUAAUACCGCAUACGUCCUACGGGAGAAAGCGGGGUUUCGGCCUCGCGCUAUCGGAUGAGCCUAUGCCGGAUUAGCUGGUUGGUGAGGUAAUGGCUCACCAAGGCGACGAUCCGUAGCUGGUCUGAGAGGAUGAUCAGCCACAUCGGGACUGAGACACGGCCCGAACUCCUACGGGAGGCAGCAGUGGGGAAUAUUGGACAAUGGGGGCAACCCUGAUCCAGCCAUGCCGCGUGUGUGAAGAAGGCCCUCGGGUUGUAAAGCACUUUCAGCGAGGAAGAACGCCUAAUGGUUAAUACCCGUUAGGAAAGACAUCACUCGCAGAAGAAGCACCGGCUAACUCCGUGCCAGCAGCCGCGGUAAUACGGAGGGUGCAAGCGUUAAUCGGAAUUACUGGGCGUAAAGCGCGCGUAGGCGGCGUAAUAAGCCGGUUGUGAAAGCCCCGGGCUCAACCUGGGAACGGCAUCCGGAACUGUUACGCUAGAGUGCAGGAGAGGAAGGUAGAAUUCCCGGUGUAGCGGUGAAAUGCGUAGAGAUCGGGAGGAAUACCAGUGGCGAAGGCGGCCUUCUGGACUGACACUGACGCUGAGGUGCGAAAGCGUGGGUAGCAAACAGGAUUAGAUACCCUGGUAGUCCACGCCGUAAACGAUGUCGACCAGCCGUUGGGUGCCUGGCGCACUUUGUGGCGAAGUUAACGCGAUAAGUCGACCGCCUGGGGAGUCGGCCGCAAGGUUAAAAC